rnacentral:rRNA from 1 species
AUGCUCAAGAAAGAGGCCUUCCACUCGACAUCGGAACAAACAGCAGCUUUCAACCAACUCAAGCACAAGCUAACAUCAGCACCUGUCCUGGCACUACCCAACUUCUCACUCCCCUUCCAACUGGAAACUGAUGCUAGUGGUACUGGACUUGGGGCUGUUCUGAUGCAGCAAAACAGGCCUAUUGCAUACUUCAGCAAGUCUUUAGGACCCAAAUCUGCUGCCCUCUCCACUUAUGAAAAGGAAGCACUCGCAAUCCUUGAGGCAUUAAAGAAAUGGAGGCACUAUGUUGUGGGCAACGAGCUGCACAUCAAAACUGACCAAAAGAGUCUGAAAUUCAUAACUGAGCAGAAGGUUUCAGAAGGCAUACAACACAAAUUACUCCUCAAACUCCUAGAAUUCAACUACAAGAUUGACUAUAAGAAGGGCAGCACUAACAAGGCUGCGGAUGCUCUUAGCAGAAAGGGCAGCACACUCAUGGCCACAACCAUCAUAACACCCACCUGGAUUGAAUCCGUUGAAAAGAGCUACGAGCACGACCCAAAGUGUCAGGAACUCCUGCAGAAACUCCUAAUUGCAGCAGAGGCAGAAAAACACUAUACACUGACAGCUGGCGUAUUAAGAUACAAGGGCAGGAUUCUCAUAGGCAAUGAUGAAGAUCUCAAGCACCAGCUCAUUGACUCCCUUCACUCCUCCGCUGUAGGAGGGCACUCUGGGAUUGUUGCCAACUACCAAAGAAUCAAAAGAUUGUUCUAUUGGCCCGGCAUGAAAAAGGAUGUGGAGAAGUUCAUCACCGAAUGCCCAGUUUGCCAAAGAGCUAAAGCAGAGCACUGUCAUUACCCAGGCCUACUAGACCCCCUCCCUCUCCCCGACAUGGCGUGGGCACACUUGACCAUGGACUUCAUCGAGGGUCUACCAAAAUCCAAUGGGAAGGAAGUCAUACUCGUAGUGGUGGACCGAUAUACUAAGUACACCCAUUUCAUCUCCCUCCCUCACCCCUACAAUGUUAACAUGGUGUCCCAAGCUUUCAUAGACAAUGUUUUCAAGUUACAUGGCCCACCAAUCAACAUUGUAACGGACCGGGACAGAAUCUUCACAAGUAACAUGUGGCAGGGGAUAUUCAAGGCAAUGAAAAUCAAGCUCAGACUCAGCACUGCUUACCACCCUCAGAGUGACGGCCAGACCGAGCGGGUCAACCAAUGUCUGGAAUCGUAUCUCAGAUGCAUGGUUUUCCAAGAGCCCAAGAAAUGGCACUCCUGGCUACCCCUAGCAGAGUGGUGGUACAAUACCACAUAUCAC